rnacentral:rRNA from 1 species
GACGAACGCUGGCGGCGUGCCUAAUACAUGCAAGUCGAGCGGACAGGCGAGGCGCUUGCUCCUCUGACGUUAGGGGCGGACGGGUGAGUAACGCGUGGAUAACCUACCUAUAAGACGGGGAUAACUUCGGGAACCGGGGUUAAAUCCGGCAUAAACUUUUAACCCCCUGGUUCGAUAGUGAAAGUCGGGUUUGCCGGCACUGACAGAUGGAUUCGCGGCGUUUUGGCUAGUUGGUAGGGUAACGGCUUACCAAGGCAACGAUGCGUAGCCGACCUGAGAGGGGGAUCGGCCACACGGGAACGGAGACACGGACAAGACUCCUACGGGAGGCAGCAGAAGGGAAUCUUCCGCAAUGGGGGAAAGCCUGACGGAGCAACGCCGCGUGAGUGAUGAAGGUCUUCGGAUCGUAAAACUCGGUUAUUAGGGAAAAACAGAUGUGGAAGUAAACGUGCACGUCUUGACGGUACCUAAUCAGAAAGCCACGGCUAACUACGUG